GGGGUGACGGCGUGCCUUUUGCAUAAUGAGCCUACGAGUUACUUUUACUAGCAAGGUUAAGCACUUCAGGUGCGGAUCCGUAGCGAAAGCGAGUCUGAACAGGGCGCCAUAGUUAGUAGUAGUAGACGCGAAACCGUGUGAUCUACCCAUGGGCAGGUUGAAGCUGUGGUAACACACAGUGGAGGACCGAACCCGUUGACGUUGAAAAGUCUUGGGAUGACCUGUGGGUAGGGGUGAAAGGCCAAUCAAACUCGGAAAUAGCUCGUACUCCCCGAAAUGCAUUUAGGUGCAGCGUAUACAUAGUUUUAUAGAGGUAGAGCUACUGAUUGGAUGCGGGGGCUUCACCGCCUACCAAUUCCUGACAAACUCCGAAUGCUAUAAAAUGUUUGUGUGCAGUGAGGGCAUGGGUGCUAAGGUCCAUGUCCGAGAGGGAAAGAACCCGGACCAUCAGCUAAGGUCCCCAAGUGUGUGCUAAGUUGACAAAACGCGGUGGAACUGCAUAGACAGCCAGGAUGUUGGCUUGGAAGCAGCCAUUCAUUUAAAGAGUGCGUAACAGCUCACUGGUCGAGCGGUUCCGCAUGGAUAAUAAUCGGGCAUAAGCACAGCACCGAAGCUAUGGCUUCUAUCUUAUGAUAGAGGGGUAGGGGAGCAUUCCAGAUGUGUCGAAGGUGGCCUGCGAGGUCUGCUGGAACGUCUGGAAACGAAAAUGUAGGCAUAAGUAACGAUAAUGCGGGCGAGAAACCCGCACGCCGAAAGACCAAGGUUUCCCCAGCUAUGCUAAUCAGCUGGGGGUCAGUCGGGACCUAACGCGAACCCGAAGGGGGUAGUGGAUGGACAACAGAUUAAUAUUUCUGUACCUGCUCACAUUAAAAGUGACGGGGAUGUGGCGUUGGUGCGUACUGACGGAAUAGUACGUUGAAGGGAGCAGUGAUGCCCCGAUAGUACAGCGAGGCUUCGGCCAAGUUGAUAAUCCAGCUUAACAUCCUCCGAGAAAACCAAGUGAAGCAGCCCGUACCGUAAACCGACACAGGUGGUUGGGAUGAGUAUUCUAAGGCGCUCGAGAGAUUCAUGGCUAAGGAACUAGGCAAAAUAGACGCGUAACUUCGGGAGAAGCGUCGCCCCCCUCCGGGGGGGCCGCAGUGAAAGAGUCCAGGCGACUGUUUAUCAAAAACACAGGGCUCUGCAAAAUCGAAAGAUGACGUAUAGGGCCUGACACCUGCCCGGUGCUGGAAGGUUAAGAGGAGAUGUCAUCCGCCUCGGCGGAGAAGCAUUGAAUUGAAGCCCCAGUAAACGGCGGCCGUAACUAUAACGGUCCUAAGGUAGCGAAAUUCCUUGUCGGGUAAGUUCCGACCUGCACGAAUGGUGCAACGAUCUGGACACUGUCUCGGCCAUGAGCUCGGUGAAAUUGUAGUAUCGGUGAAGAUGCCGGUUACCCGCAGUGGGACGAAAAGACCCCGUGCACCUUUACUAUAGCUUCGUAUUGACCUUGGGCAACCAAUGUGUAGGAUAGCUGGGAGACUUUGAAGCUGCAUCGCCAGGUGUGGUGGAGUCAUUGUUGAAAUACCAGCCUUUGUUUGUCCGGGGCCUAACUCUCUUUAGAGAGGACAGUGCGUGGUGGGUAGUUUGACUGGGGUGGUCGCCUCCAAAAGAGUAACGGAGGCUUCUAAAGGUACCCUCAAUACGGUUGGCAAUCGUGUGUAGAGUGCAAUGGCACAAGGGUGCUUGACUGUGAGACAUACAGGUCGAACAGGUUGGAAACAAGAGCAUAGUGAUCCGGUGGUUCCGCAUGGAAGGGCCAUCGCUCAAAGGAUAAAAGGUACGCCGGGGAUAACAGGCUGAUCUCCCCCAAGAGCUCAUAUCGACGGGGGGGUUUGGCACCUCGAUGUCGGCUCGUCACAUCCUGGGGCUGGAGAAGGUCCCAAGGGUUGGGCUGUUCGCCCAUUAAAGUGGCACGCGAGCUGGGUUCAGAACGUCGUGAGACAGUUCGGUCUCUAUCUACUGCGGGCGUUAGAAAUUUGAGUGGAUCUGACUCUAGUACGAGAGGACCGAGUUGGACCGACCGCUGGUGCACCAGUUGUUCCGCCAGGAGCAUCGCUGGGUAGCUAUGUCGGGAUGGGAUAAGCGCUGAAAGCAUAUAAGCGCGAAACCCGCCACAAGAUGAGAUUUCUUUAAAGGGCCGUGGGAGAUGACCACGUCGAUAGGCCAUAGGUAGAAGUGCAGUAAUGUACGUAGCCGAGUGGUACUAAUAGCCCGUUGGCUUGCGC
rnacentral:rRNA from 1 species